rnacentral:rRNA from 1 species
ACUGUGUGUUGUUGGGUAGGGGAGCGUUCUGUAAGCCUGUGAAGGUGUGUCGUGAGGCAUGCUGGAGGUAUCAGAAGUGCGAAUGCUGACAUAAGUAACGAUAAAGCGGGUGAAAAGCCCGCUCGCCGGAAGACCAAGGGUUCCUGUCCAACGUUAAUCGGGGCAGGGUGAGUCGACCCCUAAGGCGAGGCCGAAAGGCGUAGUCGAUGGGAAACGGGUUAAUAUUCCCGUACUUGGUGUUACUGCGAAGGGGGGACGGAGAAGGCUAUGUUGGCCGGGCGACGGUUGUCCCGGUUUAAGCGUGUAGGUGUGUGUUCCAGGUAAAUCCGGUUCACUUUAACACUGAGGCGUGACGACGAGGCACUACGGUGCUGAAGCAACAAAUGCCCUGCUUCCAGGAAAAGCCUCUAAGCAUCAGGUAACAUCAAAUCGUACCCCAAACCGACACAGGUGGUCAGGUAGAGAAUACCAAGGCGCUUGAGAGAACUCGGGUGAAGGAACUAGGCAAAAUGGUGCCGUAACUUCGGGAGAAGGCACGCUGACACGUAGGUGAAGUGAUUUACUCAUGGAGCUGAAGUCAGUCGAAGAUACCAGCUGGCUGCAACUGUUUAUUAAAAACACAGCACUGUGCAAACACGAAAGUGGACGUAUACGGUGUGACGCCUGCCCGGUGCCGGAAGGUUAAUUGAUGGGGUCAGCGCAAGCGAAGCUCCUGAUCGAAGCCCCGGUAAACGGCGGCCGUAACUAUAACGGUCCUAAGGUAGCGAAAUUCCUUGUCGGGUAAGUUCCGACCUGCACGAAUGGCGUAAUGAUGGCCAGGCUGUCUCCACCCGAGACUCAGUGAAAUUGAACUCGCUGUGAAGAUGCAGUGUACCCGCGGCAAGACGGAAAGACCCCGUGAACCUUUACUAUAGCUUGACACUGAACAUUGAGCCUUGAUGUGUAGGAUAGGUGGGAGGCUUUGAAGUGUGGACGCCAGUCUGCAUGGAGCCGACCUUGAAAUACCACCCUUUAAUGUUUGAUGUUCUAACGUGGACCCGUUACCCGGGUUGCGGACAGUGUCUGGUGGGUAGUUUGACUGGGGCGGUCUCCUCCUAAAGAGUAACGGAGGAGCACGAAGGUUGGCUAAUCCUGGUCGGACAUCAGGAGGUUAGUGCAAUGGCAUAAGCCAGCUUGACUGCGAGCGUGACGGCGCGAGCAGGUGCGAAAGCAGGUCAUAGUGAUCCGGUGGUUCUGAAUGGAAGGGCCAUCGCUCAACGGAUAAAAGGUACUCCGGGGAUAACAGGCUGAUACCGCCCAAGAGUUCAUAUCGACGGCGGUGUUUGGCACCUCGAUGUCGGCUCAUCACAUCCUGGGGCUGAAGUAGGUCCCAAGGGUAUGGCUGUUCGCCAUUUAAAGUGGUACGCGAGCUGGGUUUAGAACGUCGUGAGACAGUUCGGUCCCUAUCUGCCGUGGGCGCUGGAGAACUGAGGGGGGCUGCUCCUAGUACGAGAGGACCGGAGUGGACGCAUCACUGGUGUUCGGGUUGUCAUGCCAAUGGCACUGCCCGGUAGCUAAAUGCGGAAGAGAUAAGUGCUGAAAGCAUCUAAGCACGAAACUUGCCCCGA